ensembl:lncRNA
GCCUUAAUAACUUUUAUGUAGCCUGUUAAUGGUGGAUUCAGACAGUUUGUUUUGACCAGUUUAAAUUUAAAUGGUGGCGGUCAUGAACCAAGAUAGAAUUACAGUACGGCUGGUAAAGGAAAAUGUGCUCUACCUCAGUGCUGAAGGGCACGACCGCAGGUCUGUCUUGUCUCCCUGGCACUCAGCGCUGGAAGUGUCCUCGGGGGAGUGGACCCCAGAUUAUAGAUGUCCGAACCUGUGCUGGAGGGGGGAACAGGAGCCUGCCUGCGUGCGUGUAUGAUUCCAGCCUAUAAUAACGUAUCGAUUUGCUAUUCCUCCUCCUGCUGUCCCAUCUGUGUCCCUUCCCACCGGGUUUCGUGGCCGGCCGCGGAGUCGCGUCAGCGCAAAUGGUUUUGCUCGCAUGAGAGAAAGGCCUAAUUCUAAUUACGAGGCCUUUAAUUAAAAGCUUGCUGUCA